rnacentral:rRNA from 1 species
GAUGAACGCUGGCGGCGUGCCUAAUACAUGCAAGUCGAGCGAACGGACGAGAAGCUUGCUUCUCUGAUGUUAGCGGCGGACGGGUGAGUAACACGUGGAUAACCUACCUAUAAGACUGGGAUAACUUCGGGAAACCGUAGCUAAUACCGGAUAAUAUUUUGAACCGCAUGGUUCAAAAGUGAAAGACGGUCUUGCUGUCACUUAUAGAUGGAUCAGCGCUGCAUUAGCUAGUUGGUAAGGUAACGGCUUACCAAGGCAACGAUGCAUAGCCGACCUGAGAGGGUGAUCGGCCACACUGGAACUGAGACACGGUCCAGACUCCUACGGGAGGCAGCAGUAGGGAAUCUUCCGCAAUGGGCGAAAGCCUGACGGAGCAACGCCGCGUGAGUGAUGAAGGUCUUCGGAUCGUAAAACUCUGUUAUUAGGGAAGAACAUACGUGUAAGUAACUGUGCACAUCUUGACGGUACCUAAUCAGAAAGCCACGGCUAACUACGUG